rnacentral:lncRNA from 1 species
CAUUUCCAUACCACUCAAUAACCAUAUCAUAAGGCCAUAUAUACAAAAUGAUUAUAAUGCUAUACAUGCCAUACUCAAAAUAUACAAGCCAUUAUGCCAAGAUGGUAUACGAAUAGUGUGAGCGAGCCUCCGACCGUUCCCGAUUUCCGAGCUGGCUUGUCAAAACUACAAGGAAUGAAAAGGAGGGAGUAAGCAUAAAUGCUUAAGUUCACAUGCAAAUAGCAAGUAACAUAACCAUAUAAGCAAACAUAAAACAUCAUUUGCAUAAUCAUCACCAAGACAUUCAUAUCACAUUUUCAUUUAUCAUCUUACCAUAUUGUUGUUAUAUCGAGUUUUCAACCCGAGGGUUAAGUACAUACCUGUUCAAAGUAUCCAUUUCACAACACUUACCAAUACGUCCCUUUCAUAUUGAGUAUUCCUCCAUUUGAGUAGAACUUUACCCGUUGAACACAUCGGAAUAUAAUUCGGAUACAUGGAAAGUUUGCACAUAAGUGCCACAUAUGUAGCCAAGCUACCAUGUAACCCGCCUAUAAGCGAACUCGGACUCAACUCAACGAGCUCGGGCGUUCGCAUCCAUGAGUGAACUCGGACUCAACUCAACGAGUUCGGAUGCCUAGUUACAUCUCACGAACUCGGACUCAACUCAACGAGUUCGGACAUUUGCAUCCAUAAGUGAACUCGGACUCAACUCAACGAGUUCGGAUGCUCAACCAUCCUAGUGACAUGUCACCUGUAUCCUAAUCUAUUCCUAAGGUUCAAACGGGAUUUUCCUCGAACACAUAUCCUUGCCAUCUUCCGUAAAAUACCAAAACCAAUACUCAGUAAUACUUUAUAUUUAACAAUUAAUACACAUAAUUUGCAUUUUAUUCGAAAAUAACCACAAAGCAUAUAUUUCAUAAUAAAAAUCAACAUAUCAUAUAAUUAACAUCAAUAACUUAAAAAUAACAAUUAUGCUACAUUAUUUACACAUGAACUUACCUCGUAUGCGAAAAUGGCUACUUUUACCAUUUCGUCCACAACUUGGUAUUUUCCCCAUUUUAGCCCGAAUUUUAGUUUUCCUUGCUCUAUCAUUUAAAAUAUAGUCUAAUUAGGACUCACAUUAUUCAAAUUGACCCAAAAUCAUAUUUUGAAAAAAUUACAAUUUUGCCCCUAAACUUUUGCAUAUUUACACGUUUGCCCCAAAGCUCGUAAAUUAAACUUCAGCCUAUUUUCUUAUGUUUUAUGACAUGCUGGUCAUUUUUCCCUUCUAUGGCAACAUCAAAUUCUCACUCUAACAUGUACUUAUGACUAUUAGGUAUUUUUACCGAUUAAGCCUUUUUGCUCGUUUUCACUUAAAACCGAGUAGCACAAGUUGUCUAACAAAAUUUAAAACCUCAUAUUCUAUCAUAAAACAUAAAAAUACACAAAUUUCACCUAUGGGUAUUUUUCCAAAUAUAAACCCUAGGUUAAAUUAUUGCUAGCAUAAGCUUAAUCGAGCUACCGGGACUCCAAAAACGUAAAGAACUUGAAAAACGGGGCUAGAAUGGACUUACAAUCGAGCUUGGAAGCUUG